GACGAACGCUGGCGGCGUGCUUAACACAUGCAAGUCGAACGAAGAGCGCUGGAAGCUUGCUUCUAUCAAUCUUAGUGGCGAACGGGUGAGUAACGCGUAAUCAACCUGCCCUUCUGAGGGGGACAACAGUUGGAAACGACUGCUAAUACCGCAUACGAUCUAAUCUCGGCAUCGAGGAUAGAUAAAAGGUGGCCUCUACAUGUAACCCAGCACUGAAGGUGGGGAGUGCGUCUGAUUAGCUAGUUGGAGGGGUAUCGGCCCACCAAGGCGAUGAUCAGUAGCCGGACGGAGAGGAUGAGCGGCCAGAUUGGGACUGAGACACGGCCCAGACGGCUACGGGAGGGAGCAGUGGGGAAACUUGCGGAAUGGGCGAAAGUCUGACGGAGCAACGCCGCGUGAGUGAUGACGGCCGUCGGGUUGUAAAGCACUGUUAAUCGGGACGAAAGGCCUUCUUGCGAACAGGUAGAAGGAUUGACGGUACCGGAAUAGAAAGCCACGGCUAACUACGUG
rnacentral:rRNA from 1 species